CAUGGUUGUUACAUUUAUAUUUUCUAUAAAGAACUAUGUUUAUAAUCUGCAAACUUGUAGACAGAAGAUAAACGUAUUUAGAAACUGUCAAAUUAAUCAAUCAUUUGUAAAUAAAGAGUGUAUUAGACUUCUUCAAUGAUCGCAAACGAUUUUAUUAAAGUUUAAAGUGGAAUAAGAAGUUAUUGGAAUAACAUAAACAAGGUUAGAUGCCUGUAGCUAAAAACCUACUGCAAUCUGUGUGUUGAAAAUAUUCUAGCGGCGGCUCCUCACAGAGAGAUAGUUUAUGGGGUAACUUCUCAAUGAUAUAAGCAUGUUUCGUGUGACAAAGAAUAAAAGUCCCAGAGGUAAAUCCGGUGGUGUAAUAACAACUCAUUGCGACGACAACAGCAGUAACACAGAAAUAGGUAAUAGGGUUUUUGCUAACUUCAACUCAUCGUCACAGAGUCUUUCCACAAGAAGCCUUCUUACACAAAGAAACAAUGACUACAUGAAAUUUUCGUGGGACCCAAU